AUGCGAAGGUCCCAGCAGAGGGGCAAUAAUUACUCCAAAAGGAGGCCUCUCUAACACUGAAUUUCUAGCAAAUUCAUUCCUUCGCAAAUUGAUGAGCCGAAUCGUAGGAUGCCCCAAUUGCUUCUCGUUUGGGUGCAUCCGGAACCCUCGGCUACAUUUUU